CUGGCAAACCAGCGACUUAUCGCAAACAGCUAGAAACCUCAUAUGGUCACCCAGAACCAGGCGAUGUUACCUAUCAGCUUGGAAUUCCUGGUCCUCUUGGUGCAGUGAACGGAACUUUGAUCCAUUUACUGCACCUAUAGCUGCCAUCCUGAAUUUUUAUCCCAUCUUUUCUCCACGGGUUGCUCAUACCGAUCGCUUAACAUCGUGCACUCCGGGAUUUCGCCGGCUCACGUCCCGAGCU